rnacentral:tRNA from 1 species
GGUUUUGGCUCAGUGGUAGAGCUCUCACCUACUAUGUGUGCAGCCUGGGUUCAAUUCUCAGCACCA